GAUACUAUGUGCAUACUUCUGACUAUAGUUGAAAUAAAUGUGCGAACAGAAUCGCUGUAUGACAUUUAAUAAUCUUAUUUAUGUGAAAUGUAUAAAAAUGUAAAAUAUCUGUCCAGGGAUAUAAUACUACCUAAUGAUGACAGUUAACCACUGUGCUGUUCUGUUGCAAUAUUUUCUGCAAGUGUGGAGUGGAUAAUAAUAUCAGUAGAGAGCUUUCUUUGGCUACAUUUUACAGCGAUGAUGGUCCAUUUUUCUGUCACGAAGGGAUCAUUCAAACCAGCAGCCGACCCUUAAUAAUAUUAAAUUAGACUUCCAAAUAUCCUUUCAAGAUGGCGGUGACGAUGUCGUGUCGAAAUUACGAAUUCCCUGCGUGGACAAGAGUCAAGACGACGGCAAUAUUUAUGUUAUGAUGAAGGCGACAACGAAGUUUAUGAAGAUGAAGAUGAAGAUGAAGAUGAAGAUGAAGAUGAAGAUGAAGAUGAAAAUGAUAAUGAUGAUGAU